GACGUAGGGCGCGAGCGUUGUCCGGAUUUACUGGGCGUAAAGAGCGCGCAGGCGGUCGUUCAAGUCGCGUGUGAAAGCCCCCGGCUCAACUGGGGAGGGUCACGCGAUACUGAUCGACUCGAAGGCAGGAGAGGGUAGUGGAAUUCCCGGUGUAGUGGUGAAAUGCGUAGAUAUCGGGAGGAGCACCAGUGGCGAAGGCGACUACCCGGCCUGUUCUUGACGCUGAGGCGCGAAAGCUAGGGGAGCAAACGGG
rnacentral:rRNA from 1 species